GGGGAAUCUUGCACAAUGGGCGAAAGCCUGAUGCAGCGACGCCGCGUGCGGGAUGAAGGCCUUCGGGUUGUAAACCGCUUUCAGCAGGGACGAGGCGAAAGUGACGGUACCUGCAGAAGAAGCCCCGGCUAACUACGUGCCAGCAGCCGCGGUAAUACGUAGGGGGCAAGCGUUAUCCGGAUUCAUUGGGCGUAAAGCGCUCGUAGGCGGUCUGUUAGGUCGGGAGUUAAAUCCGGGGGCUCAACCCCCGUUCGCUCCCGAUACCGGCAGACUUGAGUUUGGUAGGGGAAGGUGGAAUUCCUAGUGUAGCGGUGGAAUGCGCAGAUAUUAGGAAGAACACCAGUGGCGAAGGCGGCCUUCUGGGCCAUAACUGACGCUGAGGAGCGAAAGCUAGGGGAGCAAACAGGAUUAGAUACCCUGGUAGUCCUAGCCGUAAACGAUGGACACUAGGUGUGGGGGAAUAUUUCUUCCGUGCCGCAGCUAACGCAUUAAGUGUCCCGCCCGGGGAGUACGGCCGCAAGGCUA
rnacentral:rRNA from 1 species